rnacentral:lncRNA from 10 species
UCAGAGCCCACGGGAAGCCCAUGGGAAGAGCUUAGCCUUCAUUCAGAAUGAGAAGUGGUGACAAGCCACUUGGACACUGACCUCAGAGAUAAAGGGGCCCUCCAGGUUCCCUAGAUUAUCAAUCUUAGAGCCAUCAUGUGGAAAGCAAGAGGCAUAUAAUAUGAUAACAUGUCCAGGGAGUAAAGACUGUGAAUGUGUCAUCAGAGUUCCCUAUGCUACAUUUCACAUGAAUCUGAUCAUGACCUACAGAAACUCUCCAAACAGCAGGACCCAGAUAAGCCAAUUGAGACUUAAAUGAGCUAACCUGCUCAAGGACAUUCGAUGAAUAAGUUAGGGGUCAAACCUAUGUGUUUGACUCUAAAGACUCCCUUCACCAUUGUCGUAUACUGCCUCCCAUAUAGAUCACCUCCAAUCCCAGUCGCAGCAUCUACAAGGUAGGUGUCAUCUCCAACUUAAGACGAAGAAACUCAUGUGAGAAAAAAUCUUGCCUCCCCAGCUGCCCUCAUUUUCUCUUCUGCUGGCAGGUGUGCAGCCCUGGCCCCAUCAGUCCUUUGAAGGAUGCUGCCCUCUAUGGGUAGACCGGUAGGAGAGGCCGUGCCAUUCAAUUCAAUUCAAUUGAUGCCUUCUUUGUUUCUCCAGUCUUUAAAGCGGACUUACCAAUAACGACAGCAUGUUUCCAUGUUCUUUUACCUUUCUCAAAGUGCUAUACGUAUAUUAUCUCAUUCAAACCUCCUAACAACCUUGAUGAAAAUGAAAUUCAGGGAGUUAAAGAGACAGGCACAAGGCAACAGAGUAGUUCUCAUUAGUGCAAAGGGAAUUUGAUUGCAAACUCA